rnacentral:tRNA from 2 species
GCCGGGGUGCUGAAAUGGUAGACAGGCUACGUUGAGGGCGUAGUGUCCUUACGGGCGUGCGAGUUCGACUCUCGCCCUCGGCACCA